UAAUAGCAUAUAUUAAAGUUGUUGCAGUUAAAAAGCUCGUAGUCGGAUUUUGGGCGCGUGUGAACUGUCAGCCUCUGGUUGGACGGUGCGCGCGUGCCUUUCUGCUUGGGAGCCCCAUGGUGGUUAAUUCUGUCGUGGUGGGUCACAGGCCGUUUACUUUGAAAAAAUUAGAGUGUUCAAAGCAGGCUGUUGCUUGAAUAGAUUAGCAUGGAAUAAUGGAAUAGGACCUUGGUGCUAUUUCGUUGGUUAUGGGACUGGGGUAAUGAUUAAUAGGGACAGUUGGGGCCGUUCAUAUUUCGUUGUCAGAGGUGAAAUUCUUGGAUUUACGAACGAUGAACUUGUGCGAAAGCAUUCGGCAAGGAUGUUUUCAUUGAUCAAGAACGAAAGUUAGGGGAU
rnacentral:rRNA from 1 species